rnacentral:rRNA from 1 species
UACGGGGGGGGGCAAGCGUUGUUCGGAAUUACUGGGCGUAAAGGGCUCGUAGGCGGCCAACUAAGUCCGACGUGAAAUCCCAAGGCUUAACCUUGGAACUGCGUCGGAUACUGGAUGGCUUGAAUUCGGGAGAGGGAUGCAGAAUUCCAGGUGUAGCGGUGAAAUGCGUAGAUAUCUGGAGGAAUACCGGUGGCGAAGGCGGCAUCCUGGACCGACAUUGACGCUGAGGAGCGAAAGCUAGGGGAGCAACGGG